GGGUCAGUAGGUUGGUCGUGCCACCGGUACGUACUGGUCUCACUUAUUCCUCCUUCCUGAAGAACCGUAAUGCCAUUAAUUUGGUGUUGCGGGGAAACAGGACUGUUACUUUGAAAAAAUUAGAGUGUUUAAAGCAAUCUAACGCUUGAAUACAUUAGCAUGGAAUAAUGAAAUAGGACGAUCGAUCCUAUUUUGUUGGUUUCUAGGAUUGACGUA
rnacentral:rRNA from 1 species